rnacentral:rRNA from 1 species
GACGAACGCUGGCGGCGCGCCUAACACAUGCAAGUCGAACGGAGCUGAGAGAAGCUUGCUUUUCUUAGCUUAGUGGCGAACGGGUGAGUAACGCGUGAGUAACCUGCCCUGGAGUGGGGGACAACAGUUGGAAACGACUGCUAAUACCGCAUAAGCCCACGAUCCGGCAUCGGAUUGAGGGAAAAGGAUUUAUUCGCUUCAGGAUGGACUCGCGUCCAAUUAGCUAGUUGGUGAGGUAACGGCCCACCAAGGCGACGAUUGGUAGCCGGACUGAGAGGUUGAACGGCCACAUUGGGACUGAGACACGGCCCAGACUCCUACGGGAGGCAGCAGUGGGGGAUAUUGCACAAUGGGGGAAACCCUGAUGCAGCGACGCCGCGUGGAGGAAGAAGGUUUUCGGAUUGUAAACUCCUGUCGUUAGGGACGAUAAUGACGGUACCUAACAAGAAAGCACCGGCUAGCUACGUG